UACGUAGGGUGCGAGCGUUGUCCGGAAUUAUUGGGCGUAAAGAGCUCGUAGGCGGCUUGUCGCGUCUGCUGUGAAAACGCGAGGCUCAACCUCGCGCCUGCAGUGGGUACGGGCAGACUAGAGUGCGGUAGGGGAGAUUGGAAUUCCUGGUGUAGCGGUGGAAUGCGCAGAUAUCAGGAGGAACACCGAUGGCGAAGGCAGAUCUCUGGGCCGUAACUGACGCUGAGGAGCGAAAGCAUGGGAGCGAACAGG
rnacentral:rRNA from 1 species